GGCCAGGUCCAGAGUCACCGGAGGUGUGAA
rnacentral:piRNA from 1 species